rnacentral:pre_miRNA from 1 species
ACCCCGCAGGCUGGCCCGCCCCAGGCUGGGCUGCGAGUAUCUCUUCUAAAGGCUCACCCUCAAGCAAGACUAGGAGC